rnacentral:rRNA from 1 species
UUGCUCUCGGGUGACGAGCGGCGGACGGGUGAGUAAUGUCUGGGAAACUGCCUGAUGGAGGGGGAUAACUACUGGAAACGGUAGCUAAUACCGCAUAACGUCGCAAGACCAAAGUGGGGGACCUUCGGGCCUCAUGCCAUCAGAUGUGCCCAGAUGGGAUUAGCUGGUAGGUGGGGUAACGGCUCACCUAGGCGACGAUCCCUAGCUGGUCUGAGAGGAUGACCAGCCACACUGGAACUGAGACACGGUCCAGACUCCUACGGGAGGCAGCAGUGGGGAAUAUUGCACAAUGGGCGCAAGCCUGAUGCAGCCAUGCCGCGUGUGUGAAGAAGGCCUUCGGGUUGUAAAGCACUUUCAGCGGGGAGGAAGGCGGUGAGGUUAAUAACCUCAUCGAUUGACGUUACCCGCAGAAGAAGCACCGGCUAACUCCGUGCCAGCAGCCGCGGUAAUACGGAGGGUGCAAGCGUUAAUCGGAAUUACUGGGCGUAAAGCGCACGCAGGCGGUCUGUCAAGUCGGAUGUGAAAUCCCCGGGCUCAACCUGGGAACUGCAUUCGAAACUGGCAGGCUAGAGUCUUGUAGAGGGGGGUAGAAUUCCAGGUGUAGCGGUGAAAUGCGUAGAGAUCUGGAGGAAUACCGGUGGCGAAGGCGGCCCCCUGGACAAAGACUGACGCUCAGGUGCGAAAGCGUGGGGAGCAAACAGGAUUAGAUACCCUGGUAGUCCACGCUGUAAACGAUGUCGAUUUGGAGGUUGUGCCCUUGAGGCGUGGCUUCCGGAGCUAACGCGUUAAAUCGACCGCCUGGGGAGUACGGCCGCAAGGUUAAAACUCAAAUGAAUUGACGGGGGCCCGCACAAGCGGUGGAGCAUGUGGUUUAAUUCGAUGCAACGCGAAGAACCUUACCUGGUCUUGACAUCCACAGAACUUUCCAGAGAUGGAUUGGUGCCUUCGGGAACUGUGAGACAGGUGCUGCAUGGCUGUCGUCAGCUCGUGUUGUGAAAUGUUGGGUUAAGUCCCGCAACGAGCGCAACCCUUAUCCUUUGUUGCCAGCGGUCAGGCCGGGAACUCAAAGGARACUGCCAKUGAUAAACUGGAGGAARGGUKGGGGAUGACGUUCAAGUCAUCAUGGGCCCUUACRACCAGGGCUACACACGUGCUACAAUGGCAUAUACAAAGAGAAGCGACCUCGCGAGAGCAAGCGGACCUCAUAAAGUAUGUCGUAGUCCGGAUUGGAGUCUGCAACUCGACUCCAUGAAGUCGGAAUCGCUAGUAAUCGUAGAUCAGAAUGCUACGGUGAAUACGUUCCCGGGCCUUG